rnacentral:lncRNA from 1 species
UCGCAUCCAUCUUCAUUUGAGACAUUGUCUCCCUCUCCACAGAGUUCAUCUCCUAGCAUUUCUAGACAUCGUGUUCGGGAUAGUAGCACUGAGGCAGAUGCCCCCUCUUCUGCAUAUGCUUCAGAUGAUGCGGAUGAUGUGAGUUAUGAUCAUUACAAAGGUUGAUCAUCAGGCCUGAGAGCAAUGGGUACGAUUUAUUUAUUACUUCUUUAUUUUUGCCGAAUUAUAAAAGCUCUUCUGCGCAUGCUUCAGAUGAUGCGGAUGAUGUGCGUUAUAAUCAUUACCAUAGGUUGAGGGCAAUGGGUAAGAUUUAUUUAUUACUUCUUUAUUUUUGCCGAAUUAU